rnacentral:lncRNA from 1 species
UCCCAGCGCAUGUGAUCCGCUCAUCCCGUUCAUCUCACGAAUUCGACUCUGCAUCCCAGCCAGGAUCCGUGAUCAGCUUCCUUCACGCGUCCGGAGAUCCAGCUCUCAGCCGGGAUGUAUGCUUCGAACGACCACCCAACCUCCCAACGUCCUGAGAUCCCAAGCUUCUGUUAUCAGCUCCCAGCGUCCGUGAAGCAUCCUCCCACGCGUUCCAGCUCCAGCACAUCAUCCGAGUCCGAUCCUCCUGCAAUCCAG